UAUUUGAUUAAGAUUGAUCCUGUCUUGUUUAUAUUAUAAUUGGCUAAUUAAUUAGAUAAUAUUAAAUACGAGUUUUUGCGAGUUGUAAUUUUGUCUAAAGGGCAAAUAUUCUUUAAUUGUAGUUUUUAGUUUUGGGUUUUACAUAAAUGUAGAUUCAGUUAAUUAAAUUUAGGACUGUUUAAGGUUGUGCCAGCAUACGCGGUUAUACAUCUGGUCCAAGUCAAUUUUUUUGGUUUAUAUUAAUUUUGAAUUGUUUGGGAGUUAAAUUUAUUUUAUUAGGUGAAAUUUUUAAUUUAAAUUAUAUUUUUUAGG
rnacentral:rRNA from 1 species